UGGUGAUGUAGUGGGAAGUAAAGAGAUUUUUGCACUUCGUUCGGGACGAAGGGGCCGCAGGUUCAAAUCCUGUCAUCCCGA
rnacentral:tRNA from 1 species